CUAGAUAGUAUCUCGAUUAGUGUAAAAAUUGAUUUCUAUACUACCAGCUUAGUGUUUGAACCUAUGGAGUCACGCACACAAGUCAAACAAAGUAGGAAGAAAUUGACGUAUGUUUAUAUGUCAAAUUUGAAAGUACUUGACUUGAUUGAAUAUAUAAGCUAACUUGAAUGAGAAUUAAGUUAUAGAUAAAAUAGGAUUGAAGAGUUGACUAUGUCUAGCUAGCACUACACAUGAGUUUCAAAUUCGAUCCCAGAGAUGAACAGUUUUUGAUCUAUGAUCCAUAGAGCAUAUGAAAGAUUAAAUUUAAGUGCUGAUUAGUUUCAAAUUAGAUGUGAAUUAAUUAAUUUUAAUUGGGUCUAAAAUUCAAAUGAGACUUGGUACAAAAGUUUUAAAAAGUUUGGAAUUGACAGCCUUUUGAAAUUAUUUCGAACCAGCUUUGAAUUGGAUUCGAAUCGGAUCCAUUUUGAUGAGGU
rnacentral:lncRNA from 1 species